UCAGGGAGAGCCCUGGGCGUUCACACAACAGCGUGAGCCCACAGCAGCCGCACGCUUACGGCACGUCCCUCCCUGGCCGGGCCAGAGCACGUGCUUUGGCGGAGGGAUACCUCAGCACCCUCCCUUAGUCUUUACUUUGUACUGGGAUGCCGCGGCCCGAACCAAGUGCCUUGCGUCAUCGCGCUGUGAGGAGCGCGGUGGCUCGGCGGGCAGGCGGGGGUCCCGCAGGCGGCUCUCUUGGGGCGCGGCGGGGGGGGCCUCACCCACACCCCGCUCCUCGUUAGUAUAGUGUUAUUUUUGUUUGAGAUGGAAGUGUAACGGAAAUGAACACGGUAGUCCCUGUGGGGAAGUUUGACUUCCACGAUCAGAGGGCAGCGAGCGUGAGCCGGCCGGGAGGGACUUCACCCUGCACGGGUACCGGAGCAGCCGACAGCCGCGGGCUUGAAACCCUCCAGAAGUGACGUCUUACCACGUCCCGGCGGGGAGCCUGCCACCCAUCACCUUACUCCUCGUUAGUAUAGUGGAAGGACCCAUUCAUGCUGUUAAGUGAGCUAUUUAUGUUGAUGAAAACAAGCAAAACCAGAUCAUCCCACAAUGAAAUCAAAAGUACUCACCGUCCUCUCCGUAGCUGCUGCCACAGCUUUUCCUCUGGUGUGAAGGAGUCAUGGCAGUGCUUUUUCACAAUGGGAACAUAACAAGGCACAACAGCUUUGGCACAACUCUUCACAAACUGGAAUACUUCCUCCUUGGAGGGAGAGUCCACAUCGUCAAAGAAUAUGCCUCCAAUCCCUCUUCGCUCGUCACGGUGCUUGAUAUAGAAGUAGUCAUCGCACCUAGAAAAGGUAGCAGACAAUUAUUAAUAUGGUCCACAAUAUUCAAGGAAAUUAACAGAACUCCAAACAGUUCUGUGGCACAGGAUGGCACCAGCAAAAUACUGAUGAAAAGUCAAUUCCUGCAGUGCCAGGUGCCACACUGUUUCACUGACUGCUGAGAGCCAGGACAGUACAGCACCAUCUGGAAAGCACUCCUGCCUUCGCUUACAGUAAAAGCUCUGAUAAAUGGUCUCUGCAAAGCUACAUAUCACCGCACAGUCACUGAACACGUAACACUCAAACACCAUGGCAGAUGCUUCCACGUGCAGUGAUCCAAUCCACAUCCUCUACUCGUGAGGAGAGGAGACACCUGAUUUCUAAACUUCACCCUAAGAGCUCUUUGUAGAUUUCAUUCCCUGAAUUAUAUAUAGAUCCCAAAUUACUUGUACGGCUUUCAGAUGAACUCGAAAUAAACUUGGAAGAUUAUUUCUUUA